GCCCGGGUGGUGAAAUUGGUAGACGCAGGGGACUCAAAAUCCCCCGCCGCAAGGCGUGCCGGUUCGAUUCCGGCCCCGGGC
rnacentral:tRNA from 1 species